rnacentral:lncRNA from 1 species
AUCAGCCCAGGUCAGAACCCCCACGCCAGCUGGAUGCCCAGGAGACUUAACACCAACCACAGCAGCAGCAGCUUGAAGAGGGUCACGCGCAUGUCCUGCGCCUCCCACUCCCGCAAGAACUCGCUGCCCAGCGCGCCCAGCACCGUGGCCGGCAGAGCCUGCAAGGCCUGCCCAGACCAGGACUCCGCCAUGACUGGCCCUCGCCCCACCCGGGGGCGUGGACGGGCUCCUGAGCAAUAGUGGAUGAGCUGUGAGUGCGCGCGCGUGCGCGGGGCCGCGACCUGUGCCGGCUCGAGCCCGCUGGGCACUCGGAGGCGCGCACGUCGUUCCCCGCCCUCCCGCCGCCGCCCGCCCUCGCUCUCUCGCGCUACCCUCCCGCCGCCCGCGG